rnacentral:rRNA from 1 species
UACAGAGGUCUCAAGCGUUGUUCGGAUUCAUUGGCGUAAAGGGCGCGUAGGCGGCGGGGUAAGUCGGGUGUGAAAUCUCAGAGCUCAACUCUGAAAUGGCACUUGAUACUGCUCUGCUAGAGGACUGGAGAGGAGAUUGGAAUUCACGGUGUAGCAGUGAAAUGCGUAGAUAUCGUGAGGAAGACCGGUGGCGAAGGCGGAUCUCUGGACAGUUCCUGACGCUGAGGCGCGAAGGCCAGGGGAGCAAACGGG